AAACAAAUUAAUUUAACUUUUCAAUUGUACCGUUUUACUGAAUUUGUACAGUAAAUCUGCUGUCUUAUAAACUAAUAUAAGUUCAAAUGACAUCAGACAUAAAGAUUUUAAGUUUUUGUUGACCAAAGCGAUGAUAUUCAAGAGUAAAAAUUUUUCACCCCCCCCCCCCAAGGGAAUUGACCCCCUGAGCAGACGCCUCUGAGCAAUACUAUUAACCGAGCUCCGUUUAGAAUCAUUUUUUGUGCGCUUUGCUUAAAUUUGCUUAGGUACAGAUUUACAUUAAAUUUCUUUCAAUAUCCUACCUUCCCAACUUCUCAUUUAUAACAGUGAUCCACCAUAUAACAAAUUAAACUAAUUUGUCACAUAUUAAAUUUAAUUAUUUCGCCCUCCCCCCCUAUAGUCAAGGCCUGGAGACUCUUCUAAAUAAAAUCUACAUCGUCUUUAGCCAUGAUGAAUAGCCAAUAGGUACCUAUACCUAAAUAUCAUAAUUUUACACUUUAUG